GGGACAGUCGUGCACCACCAGCUUGACGUUCCCGAAUGCGCUGGCCUGGUACUCGGUGAACACCGGGCGCGCCACCGUGCCGGCCGCGUUCAGCAACAAGCUGCUCUCGUCCCCCGACACCAGCGGGCUUCUCCCCAGGCUGACCUCAGACUCAAGGUUGACCAUGUUCAUUGCUGCUCUGUUCAUAAGAGCCAGAAACUGAAAGCAACUGGACAUCCCUCCAUGGAAGGACAUCACGCUCUCCUUCCUCCUUGUUGUGGGGUUCGACGGUGCUCCCGGAGCUGUGCUCCCUCCUUCCAUUGUGAAGAGCUCUGCCGUCUGUCUGUCCUGCUGCAGGCGGAUGUGCGGGUUAUUUCUGACUUUCACGUGCUUCUAACAAGUUUGUCAGGCCCCUUUCUUUAAAUAUGUGAGACUGCUAAAUCACCUGAUUUCAAAAACUAUUUUUAUCCACUGCCUAGAGCAUGGGAAUUCUCCCUUUAGUCUUCAGAUACUAUGUUCUUUAUGUAAUUAUAUAUCACGAACGUAUGCCUGGUGCUACAUUAUGUGCGUUACAAUACUGAUUUAUAAUUUACAGCCCCAGAGAAGGGUCUGUUGCUAUCUGAUUUGCAAGAGAGGACAGACACAUUAAGUGACUUACGUAAGCAGUGAGUGAUGGGGCUGAGACUCAGACUUGGGUGAGCAGCCCGGAGCCUGGGUCCUUAACCACGAUGCUAAGUGGAUGCUUAGAAAUACCUUCUUCGUUGUUUAAAGUUGUUGUCAUUUGUUUCUGCUUUCUGUAUAUCAGUGCUUUGCCUGUUUGUAUGUCUGUGUGUCACUUUUCUGCCUGGUGUCCACAGAGACCAGAAGAGGGCAUGAAUCUCUCGGAAUUCAGUUACAGACACUUGUGAGCCACUCUGUGGGGGUUGAAAGCUGAACAUCUUCUAGAGGGCAGCCAGUGUUCUUACCUGACUAGUCCUCUCUCAUCCAUUUCCUUUCGUUGUGUGUGUGUGUGUGUGUGUGUGUGUGAGUGUGUGUGUGUGUGUGUGUGUGUGAGAGAGAGAGAGAGAGAGAGAGAGAGAGAGAGAGAGACUGAUGGCAGCACACACGAUGUCCUCAUACCUUCCAGCAUUUUCCUAACUCCCUUAAACAUUUUUUUCAAACAGAAUUCAAUGGACAUUGGAGGUCUGAAUGAAAAAAGCUAAAAAUACAGGCCAGAGAAGAGGCUAGGCUGGGAAAGGAGCUUGCCGCCAAGCCUAGAGGCCUGAGUUUGAUUCCCGGGACCCCCACAAGGGAAGGAGGGAACCAGCUCUUUCAAGUUGUCACUGCUUCCUCAUGAACUUGAAACUUGUGCCCUCCCUAGCAAAUAGUAAAUAACAGAAUAAAAGCGCAAACGCCCGGCACCUUCUGAUUAGUUUGUUGGACACAUAAGCAACUUUAGGCAAGAUGGAAAUAUGUUUAUCAAAUGUCAGCCAAGCUUUUUGUGUACUAGCUGAUGGAACUGAAAAAUAAAUGUCACAUGUAGCAAGCCAGCUAAUGAAGCAGCUCGUCCAUUGAAGCCACACACCCCAGCGAACUCUCAGAGCACCUUCAAAUAAACAAACAAUGGGAUGCUGGCAUGGCUGCAUUGUGGCAUCAACCAAGAACUAAAGCCAAUCAGACACCCUCAGUUGUUCUGCUUAUGAGACUUACUGCAUUCUAUAUUUAUUAGAGUGUGUGUGUGUGUGUGUGUAUGUGCGCGUGUGUGUGUACCAUACGUAUCUACUUCUGUUUCUGAGACAGGAUUUCAUAUAUCCCAGGCUGGCUUCACACUCACUAUGUAGCUGAGGAUGACCUUGAACCCUUGAACCCUCUGCCUCUACCUCCCAGAUGUUGAGAUUUUAGGCACGCACCACCAUACCUAGCACGUAUGGUAUUGGGGAUCAAACCCAGGGCUUGACACAUGCUAAACAGCACUCUAUCAACUGAUCUGUGUCUGCAUCACUGUGUUAAUAAAUGUUUCAUUCAAAUAA